AAGCUACUCCCUCCGUCCCAAAUUACUAUUCGUUUUGACUUUUCUAGAUACAUAGCUUUUGCUAUGAACCUAGAUAUAUGUAUGUCCAGAUACGUAGCAAAAGCUAUGUAUCUAGAAAAGCUAAAACGAAUAGUAAUUUGGGACGGAGGGAGUACUUC
rfam:Setaria italica strain Yugu1 chromosome III, whole genome shotgun sequence.